rnacentral:rRNA from 1 species
UACGAAGGGUGCAAGCGUUAAUCGGAAUUACUGGGCGUAAAGGGUGCGUAGGCGGUUAGUUAAGUCUGUUGUGAAAUCCCCGGGCUCAACCUGGGAAUGGCAAUGGAUACUGGCUGGCUAGAGUGUGUCAGAGGAUGGUGGAAUUCCCGGUGUAGUGGUGAAAUGCGUAGAUAUCGGGAGGAACACCAGUGGCGAAGGCGACUUCCUGGCCUGUUCUUGACGCUGAGGCGCGAAAGCUAGGGGAGCAAACGGG